rnacentral:rRNA from 1 species
UUGGAGGGCAAGUCUGGUGCCAGCAGCCGCGGUAAUUCCAGCUCCAAUAGCGUAUAUUAAAGUUGUUGCAGUUAAAAAGCUCGUAGUUGAAUUUCGGGACUAAUAUGUCGGUCGUACUUUGUACGUACUAGCAUUAUUGGUUUCUCCCUUCUGACGAACCACGAUGUCAUUAAUUUGGUGUCGUGGGAAAUCAGGACUGUUACUUUGAAAAAAUUAGAGUGUUUAAAGCAAGCUCGCGCUUGAAUACAUUAGCAUGGAAUAAUGAAAUAGGACGUUUGAUUCUAUUUUGUUGGUUUCUAGGAUCGACGUAAUGAUUAAUAGGGAUAGUUGGGGGCAUUAGUAUUCAAUUGUCAGAGGUGAAAUUCUUGGAUUUAUUGAAGACUAACUACUGCGAAAGCAUUUGCCAAGGAUGUUUUCAUUAAUCAAGAACGAAAGUUAGGGGAUCGAAGACGAUCAGAUACCGUCGUAGUCUUAACCAUAAACUAUGCCGACUAGGGAUCGGAUGAUGUUAAUUUUUUAAUGACUCAUUCGGCGCCUUACGGGAAA